rnacentral:rRNA from 1 species
UACGUAGGCAGCGAGCGUUGUUCGGAGUUACUGGGCGUAAAGGGUGUGUAGGCGGUUGUUUAAGUUUGGUGUGAAAUCUCCCGGCUCAACUGGGAGGGUGCGCCGAAUACUGAAUAACUAGAGUGCGGGAGAGGAAAGUGGAAUUCCUGGUGUAGCGGUGAAAUGCGUAGAUAUCAGGAGGAACACCGGUGGUGUAGACGGCUUUCUGGACCGUAACUGACGCUGAGACACGAAAGCGUGGGGAGCGAACAGG